CAAUAGCGUAUAUUAAAGUUGUUGCAGUUAAAAAGCUCGUAGUUGAACCUUGGGUCUGGCUGGCCGGUCCGCCUCACCGCGAGUACUGGUCCGGCUGGACCUUUCCUUCUGGGGAACCUCAUGGCCUUCACUGGCUGUGGGGGGAACCAGGACUUUUACUGUGAAAAAAUUAGAGUGUUCAAAGCAGGCCUUUGCUCGAAUACAUUAGCAUGGAAUAAUAGAAUAGGACGUGCGGUUCUAUUUUGUUGGUUUCUAGGACCGCCGUAAUGAUUAAUAGGGAUAGUCGGGGGCGUCAGUAUUCAGCUGUCAGAGGUGAAAUUCUUGGAUUUGCUGAAGACUAACUACUGCGAAAGCAUUCGCCAAGGAUGUUUUCAUUAAUCAGGGAACGAAAGUUAGGGGAUCGAAGACGAUCAGAUACCGUCGUAGUCUUAACCAUAAACUAUGCCGACUAGGGAUCGGGCGGUGUUUCUAUAAUGACCCGCUCGGCACCUUACGAGAAAUCAAAGUUUUUGGGUUCUGGGGGGAGUAUGGUCG
rnacentral:rRNA from 1 species